rnacentral:rRNA from 1 species
CAGUCGCCGCGGGAAGACAGAGGAUGCAAGCGUUAUCCGGAAUGAUUGGGCGUAAAGGGCUCGCAGGCGGUUUCUUAAGUCUGAUGUGAAAGCCCCCGGCUCAACCGGGGAGGGUCAUUGGAAACUGGGAAACUUGAGUGCAGAAGAGGAGAGUGGAAUUCCACGUGUAGCGGUGAAAUGCGUAGAGAUGUGGAGGAACACCAGUGGCGAAGGCGACUCUCUGGUCUGUAACUGACGCUGAGGAGCGAAAGCGUGGGGAGCGAACAGGAUUAGAUACCCGGGUAGUCCCUGUCUCUUAACC